rnacentral:rRNA from 1 species
AUGAUGGAGGAUUGGUACUGUCUAGAACAGAUCAUCAGAAGCACUGUGCUCUCUGAAGGAGAAGAUUCUCUGAUCUGGCAAUAUGAGAAUAAUGGGGUUUACUCUACUAGCUCGCUUUAUAAUGUGAUUAAUUUCCGAGGGGUGCAGCCUGUUUUCAUACCUUCUGUAUGGACUAUAGUCAUCCCACCUCGAGUGCAAGUAUUUCUCUGGUUACUGUCUCAUAAUAAGCUAAUGACUAAAGAUAAUAUUUUAAAAAGAGGCAUUGUGAAACCUCCAGAGUGCUUAUUUUGCAAUGAACAUGAAACUGUAGAUCAUUUGCUUUUCCACUGUGUGGUUGCUAAACAGAUCUGGUUUGGUAUCUCUGAUAUUUUCUCUUGUGAAUUAGGUGCUACCUACUUGUCUGUGGCUAGAUAUUGGCCAGCACAUAAGAAGCAUUUAGUCUUAAAUUCAGUGUGUGCCUGUGUAAUGUGGUGCAUUUGGAAGUACAGAAACUCCAUGAUUUUUAAUGGUGUACUGUGGUCUGACAUUAAACAAAUUUGGUGGUAG